rnacentral:rRNA from 1 species
AUUUUUCGCUGGCGGCAGGCCUAACACAUGCAAGUCGAGCGGUAGAGAGAAGCUUGCUUCUCUUGAGAGCGGCGGACGGGUGAGUAAUGCCUAGGAAUCUGCCUGGUAGUGGGGGAUAACGUUCGGAAACGGACGCUAAUACCGCAUACGUCCUACGGGAGAAAGCAGGGGACCUUCGGGCCUUGCGCUAUCAGAUGAGCCUAGGUCGGAUUAGCUAGUUGGUGAGGUAAUGGCUCACCAAGGCGACGAUCCGUAACUGGUCUGAGAGGAUGAUCAGUCACACUGGAACUGAGACACGGUCCAGACUCCUACGGGAGGCAGCAGUGGGGAAUAUUGGACAAUGGGCGAAAGCCUGAUCCAGCCAUGCCGCGUGUGUGAAGAAGGUCUUCGGAUUGUAAAGCACUUUAAGUUGGGAGGAAAGGCAGUAAAUUAAUACUUUGCUGUUUUGACGUUACCGACAGAAUAAGCACCGGCUAACUCUGUGCCAGCAGCCGCGGUAAUACAGAGGGUGCAAGCGUUUAAUCGGAAUUACUGGGCGUAAAGCGCGCGUAAGUGGUUUGUUUAGUUGGAUGUGAAAUCCCCGGGCUCCACCUGGGAACUGCAUUCAAAACUGACUGACUUAAGUAUGGGAGAGGGUGGUGGGAAUUUCCUGUGGUACGGGGAAAAGCGUAGAUAUAGGGAAGGACACCCGUUGGGGAAGGGGACCCCCUGGGAUUAAUACUGGACACUGAGGGGCGAAAAGCGUGGGGGGCAAAAAGGGAUUAAAACCCGGGUAGUCCCGCCCCUAACGAUGUCAACUAGCCGUUGGAAGCCUUGAGCUUUUAGUGGCGCAGCUAACGCAUUAAGUUGACCGCCUGGGGAGUACGCCCGCAAGGUUAAAACUCAAAUGAAUUGACGGGGGGCCCGCACAAGCGGUGGAGCAUGUGGUUUAAUUCGAAGCAACGCGAAGAACCUUACCAGGCCUUGACAUCCAAUGAACUUUCUAGAGAUAGAUUGGUGCCUUCGGGAACAUUGAGACAGGUGCUGCAUGGCUGUCGUCAGCUCGUGUCGUGAGAUGUUGGGUUAAGUCCCGUAACGAGCGCAACCCUUGUCCUUAGUUACCAGCACGUAAUGGUGGGCACUCUAAGGAGACUGCCGGUGACAAACCGGAGGAAGGUGGGGAUGACGUCAAGUCAUCAUGGCCCUUACGGCCUGGGCUACACACGUGCUACAAUGGUCGGUACAGAGGGUUGCCAAGCCGCGAGGUGGAGCUAAUCCCACAAAACCGAUCGUAGUCCGGAUCGCAGUCUGCAACUCGACUGCGUGAAGUCGGAAUCGCUAGUAAUCGCGAAUCAGAAUGUCGCGGUGAAUACGUUCCCGGGCCU